AGUGAACGCUGGCGGUAGGCCUAACACAUGCAAGUCGAACGGCAGCACAGUAAGAGCUUGCUCUUACGGGUGGCGAGUGGCGGACGGGUGAGGAAUACAUCGGAAUCUACUUUUUCGUGGGGGAUAGCGUAGGGAAACUUACGCUAAUACCGCAUACGACCUACGGGUGAAAGCAGGGGAUCUUCGGACCUUGCGCGAUUGAAUGAGCCGAUGUCGGAUUAGCUAGUUGGCGGGGUAAAGGCACACCAAGGCGACGAUCCGUAGCUGGUCUGAGAGGAUGAUCAGCCACACUGGAACUGAGACACGGUCCAGACUCCUACGGGAGGCAGCAGUGGGGAAUAUUGGACAAUGGGCGCAAGCCUGAUCCAGCCAUACCGCGUGGGUGAAGAAGGCCUUCGGGUUGUAAAGCCCUUUUGUUGGGAAAGAAAAGCAGCAGGUUAAUACCCCGCUGUUCUGACGGUACCCAAAGAAUAAGCACCGGCUAACUUCGUG
rnacentral:rRNA from 1 species